rnacentral:lncRNA from 1 species
CUCAGCCUCCUGAGUAGCUGGGACUACAGGUGUGCACCACAAUGCCCAGCUAUUUUUAUUUUUAUGUACAUGAAAAUUGGAACAGAAUUAAAAAAAAAUUUUUUUUGUAGAGAUGGGAUAUUGCUCUGUUGCCCAGGCUGGUCUCGAACUGCUGGGCUCAAGUGAUCCUGCCACCUCAGCCUCCCAAAUUGCUGGGAUUGCAGGUGUGAGCCACUGUGUUUGGCUGAGUAGGCUAUUUGAUGCUCUGGAACCAGAUAAGGUCACCAAGGAUCAGUGUGUGCCAGGGGUGGUCACCCACUUUGCUCACCCGGGCCUCGUUCCUGGGGGCUGUGUGUGUAGAAAACAGAGAGGGAAACAAACAAAACAAAAUGUAGAACAAGAUGAGCUGGCCUUUGUGGCGUGGAGACAUUUAAGCUGACAUCCAAAUGACAAGAAGUCAGCCAUUCCGAUGCGGGAGGGAGUGUUCCAGGCAGAGGGAACACCAAGUCUGGGUCAAAAGUGAGCUGGAGGCCGGGUGCAGUGGCUCAUGCCUGUAAUCCCAGCACUUUGGGAGGCUGAGGCGGGUGGAUCACUUGAGGUCGGGAGUUCGAGACCAGCCUGACCAACAUGGUGAAACCCCGUCUCUACUAAAAAUACAAAAAUUAGCUGGGCGUGGUGGCAGGUGCCUGUUAUCUCAGCUACUCAGGAGGCUGAAGCAGGAGAAUCGCUUGAACCCGGGAGGCGGAUGUUGCAGUGAGCCGAAAUCACGGCACCGCAUUCCAGCCUGGAUGACAAGAGAGAAACGCCGUCUCAAAAAAAAAAAAAAAAAGAAAGAAAAAAGGUGAGCUGGGCUGGAACAAGGGGAAGCUACCUUUUUCCCUCAUCUUCACUGUCCAGCAGAAGCCAUGUAUUCAGGCGGUUCCCAUGUCAGCAUGGAAGCCAGUUCCUGCAAUGUCCCCAACAGAGAUGUGCUUUUCUUCACUGCCUGCUUACCUGUUCUCUUUCUCUAGACAAAGACAAGCUCCUACGGCUGCUCCUCCUGGCCCUCACCUUUCUCGCAUGAAAGGCCCUGGCAGCUGCUAAUCUACCGUUUCAAUGGAUUGGACUGUUCUGGAAGCUUCACAUCAAUGGAAUCAUACAAUACAUGACCUUUUGUGUCUGGCUUGUUUUUCUUAGCAUCAUGUUUUUGAGGUUCAUGGCUUACUUUUUAUAACUAACUGAGUCGUAGUCCAUUAUCUGUGUACACCACAUCUUGUUUAUCUAUUCAUCCAUGGAUGGGCAUUUCAGGUGUUCCUACCUUUCGGCUAUUAUUGUAAAUAAUGCUGCUAUGAACAUUCACGUACAAGUUUUUGUUUGACCUUAGUGUGGUUUUUAAUUUGUAUUUCUCUUUUCACAUGUUUAAAAACUAUGUGCAUUUUAUUUCUCCUGCAAACUGUCUAUUCCUGGCAUUUGCCCAUUAAUUGUAUUGUUGGUCUUCUUUGUUUUUUUUUUUUUUUUUUUUUUAAUAGAGACAGGAUCUCACUAUGUUGCCCAGGCUGGUUUUGAAAUCUUGGGCUCAAGCAAUCCUCCUGCCUUGGCCUCUUGUUGGUCUUUUUUUAUCUAGAAAUCGGUCAGGUGCAGUGGCUCCCGCCUGUAAUCCCAGCACUUUGGGAGGCCGAGGUGGGCAGAUCACCUGAGGUCAGGAGUUCGAGACCAGCCUGGCCAACAUGGUGAAGCCCCGUCUCUACUAAAAAUACAAAAAUUAGCCGGGCGUGGUGGUGGGCACCUGUAAUCUCAGCUGCUCAGGAAGCUGAGGCAGGAGAAUAGCGUGAACUCAGGAGGCGGAGGUUGCGGUGAGCCGAGAUCGUACCACUGUACUCCAGCCUGGGUGACAGAGCGAAACUCUGUCUCAAAUAAAUAAAUAAAUAAUAUGUAGAAUCCUAGGUACCUUCCAUGUAUGAGAGAGAGUACCCCUUUGUGUUAUACAGUGCAAAUACUUUUCCUCGUUUUUCAUUGAUUUGAUGGUGUUUUUUAGACACGAGAAGUUUAUUUUUAGCUAGCUGGACUCUUUUGUCUUCUAUGCCUUCUGGGUUUGAGGUCAUAGUUAGAAGGUCUUCUGGAAGUCAGUGUUAUAAAGGAAGUGAUUGGAGGCUUUUACCAGGAGCAAGACAUAAUCUUGACUUAAGUUUUCCAGUCACUCUUGUAGCAGUGUGGCAAAGGGACUGGGGGAGGGCAAGCAUGGGAGGCCAGUGAGGAGGCCACCACAGCUAUCCUGAUGAGAGGCUGGUGGCUUGGACCAGGGUGGGGACAGAAUAUCAGCUUCUGGAUAGAUUUUGGGGGGAAAGCCAACAAGAUUUGCUGACGAAUAGGACAUGGAGUUUGAGAGAAAGAGAGGAGUCAAGAACUCCACUUUGGCCUGAGCAAGAGGAAUAAACUUUACUAAGAUGCGGGGCAUGGGAAGAGAAGCAAGUCUGGGGUGAACAAUGAAGGCUUUGCUUGUGGAAAUGGUAUGUUGAGAUGCCUGUUAGAUCCAAGCAGAGAUUUGGAUCUAUGAACCUGGAGCCUGGAGUUCACAGGAGAGCUUGAGAGGAUGGAGUGAGAAAUUGCAGAGCUGUCAAGACAGACAUGGCUGAUGCUCUGGAACUAGAAAGAUCGCCAAGGGAAUCAAAGGGUAACACCUGCUCGUCUGGUCAAGCCAAUGGAUGAGAUGACAAAGAUGGGACUAAGGCCAGGCACAGUGGCUCACGCCUGUAAUCCCAGCACUUUGGGAGGCCUAGGCAGGUGGAUUGUUUGAGCCCAGGAGUUCGAGACCAGCUGGGCAACAUAGUGAGACUCUGUGUGUAUAGCAAAUACAAAGAUUAGCUGGGUGUGGUGGCACACGCCUGUAGUCCCAGCUACUUGGGAGGCUUAGGUGGGCGGAUCACUUGAGCCCAGGAGGUGGAGACCAGCCUGGGCAACACGGUGAAACCCUGUCUCUACAAAAAAUUCAAAAAUUAGCCUGGCGUGGUGGCAUGCACCUGUAGUCCUAGCUACUUGGGAGGCUGAGGUGGGAAGAUUGCUUGAGCCUGGGAAGACGAGGCUGCAGUGAGUGGUGUUCAUACCACUGCACUCCAGCCUGGGUGACAAAGUGAGACAUUGUCUCCAAAAAGAUCAUUAUACAAAAAUCAAUUUUUAAAAGUUUUUUGAGAUAGAGUCUUGCUCUCUGUUGCCUAGGCUGGAGUGCAAUGGCAUGAUCUUGGCUCACUGCAACCUCUGCCUCUUGGGUUCAAGCGAUUGCCCCCCUCCUCAGCCUCCCAAGUAACUGGGAUUACAGGUGCCCGCCACCAUGCCUGGCCAAUUUUCGUAUUUUUAGUAGAGACGGGGUUUUGUCAUCUUGGCCAGGCUGGUCUCGAAUUCCUGAUCUCAAGUGAUCCGCCCACCUCUGCCUCCCAAAGUGCUUGAAUUGCAGGCAUGAGCCACCACACCUGGCCAAUCAAUUGUAUUUCUAUACACAAUCCAAAAUGAAAUUAAGAAAAUAAUUCCAUUUAUAACAGUGUCAAAAAAGAAUAAAAUACUUAUUAAUAGAUUUUUUUAAAAGAAGCAUGAGAUUUGUACACUGAAAAGUACAAAACAUCAUUGAAAGAAAUUCAAGAAGACCUAAAUAAAUGGAAAGACAUCUGUAUUAGUCAUGGUUCUCCAGAGAAACAGAACCAACAGGACACACACACACACAGUUUAUUUUAAGGAUUUGGUUCACCCAAUUGUCGGGGCUGACAAGUUGGUGUGAAAUUUGUAGGACAGACUGACGGGCUGGAAACUCGGAGAAUUUCUGUGUUACAGUCUUGUUGUUGUUGUUGUUGAGAUGGAGUCUCACUCUUGUCGCCCAGGCUGGAGUGCAGUGGCAUGAUAUCAGCUCACUGCAACCACUGCCUCCUGGGUUCAAGCGAUUCUCCUGCCUCAGCUUCCCGAGUAGCUGGGAUUACAGAUGCCCGCCACCAUGCCCAACUAAUUUUUGUAUUUUUAGUAGAGACGGGGUUUCAUCACGUUGGUCAGGCUGGUCUCGAACUCCUGACCUCAGGCGAUCCGCCUGCCUUGGCCUCCCAAAGUGCUGGGAUGACAGACAUGAGCCACCGCGCCUGGCCUGUGUUACAGUCUUGAGGCAGAAUUUCUGCUUCUCCAGGAAACCUCGGGUUUUGCUCUUAAAGCCAUCCAACUAAAUGGAUGAGGCCCACACACAUUAUCAAGGGUGAUCUCUUUUACUUAAAGUCAGUUGAGGGCCAGGCAUGGUGGCUCAUGCCUAUAAUCUCAGUGCUUUUUUUUUUUUAGACAGAGUCUUGCUCUAUCUCCCAGGCUGGAGUGCAAUGGCACGAUCUUGGCUCACUGCAACCUCCCCCUCCCAGGUUCAAGAGAUUCUCGGCCGGGCGCGGUGGCUCACGCCUGUAAUCCCAGCACUUUGGGAGGCCGAGAUGGGCGGAUCACAAGGUCAGGAGAUCGAGACCAUCCUGGCUAACACGGUGAAACCUCGUCUCUACCAAAAAUACAAAAAAAUUAGCCGGGCGUGGUGGCGAGUGCCUGUAGUCCCAGCUACUUGGGAGGCUGAGACAGGAGAAUGGCGUGAACCCGGGAGGCGGAGCUUGCAGUGAGCCGAGGUCACACCACUGCACUCCAGCCUUGGCGACAGAGCAAGACUUUGUCUAAAAAAAAAAAAAAAAAAAAAAAAAAUUCUCCUGCUUCAGCCUCCUGAGUAGCUGGGACUACAGGCAUAUGACACCAUGUCCGGCUAAUUUUUGUAUUUUUUGUAGAGAUGGGGUUUUGCCAUGUUGGCCAGGCUGGUCUCGAACUCCUGACCUCAGGUGAUCCGCUCACUUCAGCCUUCCAAAAUGCUGGGAUUACAGGCUUGAGUCACUGCACCCAGCAUAUGCCAGUACUUUGGAAGGCUGAGGCAGGAGGAUUACUUAAGCCCAGGAGUUCAAGACUAGCCUGGGCAGUGUAGCAAGACCCUGUCUCUCUCUACAAGAAUAGGAAAAGUUAGCCAGGCGUGGUGGCACUUGCCUGUGGUCCCAGCUACCUGGGAGGCUGAGGCAGGAGGAUCCCUUGAGCCCAGGAAGUCGAGGCUGCAGUGAGCCAUGAUCCAAUGCCGCUACACUGCAGCCUGGGUGAUAGAGCGCGACCUCAACUUGGGGGGAAAAAUCUGUCUAUCUAUCUAUCUCUCCAUAUAUGUGUUUAAUAAAAAUGGGCAAAUGACUUGAAUAGACAUUUCUUCAGAGAUCAUAUACAAAAGGCCAGCAAGCACAUGAAAAGAUGCUGAACACCAUUAGUCAUCAGGGAAAUGAAAAAGAAAACCUUAACGGGGCGCGGUGGCUCACACCUGUAGUCCCAGCACUUUGGGAGGCUGAGGCGGGAGCAUCGUUUGAGCCUGGGGCGGUCGAGGCUGCAGUGAGCUAUGAUCUCACCACUGCACUCCAGCCCGGGUGACAGAGCGAGACCCUGUGUCAAAAGAAAACAAAAAAAGAAAAGGAAAAAGAAAGCAAGGGAAGGAAGAAAGCCCUCGGUUCAGGGUCGCCGGGGAAGGGGCUGGUUUGGACGGCUGUCCCGCAGGCCCUCCGGGUUAGAGACCGUCGGGGGCGUGUCUUGAGCUGGGGACGCGACUCCUCGGCGGGGGUGCACCUGAGAGGCCGGGACCAGCGAGGCCGCGCCCCGGUGGCAGGUGACCCCGGGCGCGUCUCCGAGCGCC